rnacentral:rRNA from 1 species
ACGCUUCUUUUUCCCCCUAGCUUGCUCCACCACAAAAAGAGGAGUGGCGAACGGGUGAGUAACACGUGGGUAACCUGCCCAUCAGAAGGGGAUAACACUUGGAAACAGGUGCUAAUACCGUAUAACAAUCGAAACCGCAUGGUUUUGAUUUGAAAGGCGCUUUCGGGUGUCGCUGAUGGAUGGACCCGCGGUGCAUUAGCUAGUUGGUGAGGUAACGGCUCACCAAGGCGACGAUGCAUAGCCGACCUGAGAGGGUGAUCGGCCACAUUGGGACUGAGACACGGCCCAAACUCCUACGGGAGGCAGCAGUAGGGAAUCUUCGGCAAUGGACGAAAGUCUGACCGAGCAACGCCGCGUGAGUGAAGAAGGUUUUCGGAUCGUAAAACUCUGUUGUUAGAGAAGAACAAGGAUGAGAGUAACUGUUCAUCCCUUGACGGUAUCUAACCAGAAAGCCACGGCUAACUACGUGCCAGCAGCCGCGGUAAUACGUAGGUGGCAAGCGUUGUCCGGAUUUAUUGGGCGUAAAGCGAGCGCAGGCGGUUUCUUAAGUCUGAUGUGAAAGCCCCCGGCUCAACCGGGGAGGGUCAUUGGAAACUGGGAGACUUGAGUGCAGAAGAGGAGAGUGGAAUUCCAUGUGUAGCGGUGAAAUGCGU